UCCACUGAGCUAUAAUAUAUCUGGAGGAAGUGCUCCUAUCUCUCUUCAGUCAAGCAAGUGAAGCCAAAAACAUGGCGGAUUUUCAAGGAUUUUCACGUUUGCUGACGCCAGAAUGACGCCACUGGUCCCAAAUCCUCGUGGUAAUUACCACUGAGCAAGGCUCAUUUUGAGCCCGCUACCACUUUCUCAUCCCCCUGAUUUUCACAAAAAUAUUUUAGCUUUUUGUUUUGAAAUUUGCCUCGGUGUUUGCCUUCUCUUCGACAUUUUAACAUUUGUUUCGAGUUGCACAAGUGGUAAGAAUCAUCCUGGCUAGUGAAAGACAGGGAACGAAUCUUCAAACCUCAAGAAAUUUUGGAAAGACGUUAUUUGUAAAGGUAAAAAAAUACUGUUUAUAUGUUCAAUAUUAAUUUGUGAUAGAGUAUGUCAAAACAAAGCGAAAUAAACAGCCCAUUUGUACUGUGUAGUGGACAAUUUUAGCAGCUGAUGUAUACAAUUAAGUUGCCCAAACUAUAUUAAUACGAGAAACAGUCUUCCUCGAAAGAAAAUGGUUGAAAUUUCAGAUUUUAGUUUCAUUUGUUAUUUCAAAUUUUACGAUAUAAAAUGCCAGUCGACCACCAUCUGCUUCAUGAUCAUACUUAUUAAAAUUAAAGUGGUUUCUAUUAUAUUAGUAUACCUAUAGAGGAAGACCUUUUUAAGCCAGAACUAUCAUGGCUUGGCUUUGAAUGAUUUAAUCCAUGUACUUUAUAACUGGCCACUGAUGGCAAUGAAAUUAUAAUGACUAAUGUGUAGAAUUAUCAAGUCUAGAUCCAAAAAUUGGCAGUUUCAUAUAUAAGAUCAGGCAUAUAUAAGAUCAAAGCUAGUUUCAUAUAUAAGAUCAGGUUUAGAGGCCUGUAGCAUUUUCUCUAGAAAUUGCAUGAGUAAAAUCAAUUUCAUAAUUAACCCGUUGAGCCGCAAUGCGCCCUAUUUAUUUUUUUACUUGCCAGAUGAUUUUACUUGUCAAUGGGGAAGCUCUGUAGCUUAUCGGUUAACCAAAAAAAACUGACAAUGUCUCUAGUUAACCUAUUGAGCCCCAGUGUGCCCUACUUUUUUUUUACUUUCUAAAGCCAGACAAUAUCACUCGUCAAUGGGGAAGCUCUGCAGCUUAGAUGAUAUUUGAUGUUGGUAAUUCAUGUAUUUUUGGAGGAAAAUAUUUUAGACAGUGGUUGUUUGCCUGACACCAAACCCCAAUAUUUACAUGCUAUUUGUCUAAGUGAACUAUUUUCCUCAUUCUUUCAACAUGCCAAAGUGAUAUAAAAUAAAUUUCAGUUGAAUUCAAGCAAGUCCUCGGGCCCGUAAGUUGUCAACUGACGACUAUCACCUUCAUUGUUAGUUAAGUAUAUAUCUGCUUAUGUCCUGGGUUCAAAUGAGUGGAAUUUCAAGAGCAUUCUGACUGGCUUUGUGCAAACAGGGGGCCUUACCGGUUAGGAUGAGGGCCAGUUGAGGUGUUAGGGUUGAGUGCAGGCAAGGUUCAUGUAAACUUAUUGUUAGCAAGAAUCAGAGAAGGAUUUUCAUAUUUUUGUUCGGGGGGGAUAAAUAUCUGGGGGGUGAUGCUGCUUGCUUUGGCCGGGGCCUGGUGGCAACGCCUGGAAAGGCCAAGGAAAAAGUUUAACAAAAUUUGUUUUCUAUGUCUGCAUGGCAAGAUUGAGACCAUAAUAUUGAUAAUUUUACAAAUUUAGUAGUAAGAAUAAUCAAAUAUGAAACCAUCAAAUCAAAAUAUAUAUAAUUUGUGGGGGUGCAAAAACUUUGGGGGGCAGUGCCAAAUGCCUCUUGGGGGGGGGGAGGGGGUUGCAAAUCAUUUCUGGGGGUAUGCCCUCCCCCAGAAAAUCCGUGCCUGGCAAGAAUGUUAUGUGUACAUAAUCAUGUGUAAUGUUGUUUGGAUUAAUUGCAUUUUAACGUUGGAAUCCAGUGUCGAACAAUAACCACAACAAUUAUUAUAUAAAGUAUUUGGUUGUUUUAGUGUAAUAUUAAUUUCUCACAUAUUUUUUUCAGAAAUAAAGCACCAUUGAGCAACUUGUUGGGAAAGAGGAGUCACAAACUGUUGAUGAAUAUAUUUAAUUAAUUACACAUAAAAUACAAUUUUAUUAACAGUAUAUUGAUUUAUGGGUUUAUUAGACCACAUUAUUUUCAUAUUAUUAAUAAUUAAAAAUAAAAUUAACAAAUAAAUUACAAAAUCAAUGUGAAAAUAUUGCAAUAAUCAAUUAAAAUGUCAAACCAGC